rnacentral:rRNA from 1 species
UACGUAGGGUGCAAGCGUUAAUCGGAAUUACUGGGCGUAAAGCGUGCGCAGGCGGUGAUGUAAGACAGAUGUGAAAUCCCAGGGCUCAACCUUGGAACUGCAUUUGUGACUGCAUCGCUGGAGUGCGGCAGAGGGGGAUGGAAUUCCGCGUGUAGCAGUGAAAUGCGUAGAUAUCUGGAGGAACAUCGGUGGCGAAGGCGGCAUCCUGGACCGGUAUUGACGCUGAGGCGCGAAAGCCAGGGGAGCAAACGGG